rnacentral:rRNA from 1 species
GAUGGACGCUGGCGGCGUGCCUAAUACAUGCAAGUCGAGCGAACAGACGAGGAGCUUGCUCCUCUGACGUUAGCGGCGGACGGGUGAGUAACACGUGGAUAACCUACCUAUAAGACUGGGAUAACUUCGGGAAACCGGAGCUAAUACCGGAUAAUAUAUUGAACCGCAUGGUUCAAUAGUGAAAGACGGUUUUGCUGUCACUUAUAGAUGGAUCCGCGCCGCAUUAGCUAGUUGGUAAGGUAACGGCUUACCAAGGCAACGAUGCGUAGCCGACCUGAGAGGGUGAUCGGCCACACUGGAACUGAGACACGGUCCAGACUCCUACGGGAGGCAGCAGUAGGGAAUCUUCCGCAAUGGGCGAAAGCCUGACGGAGCAACGCCGCGUGAGUGAUGAAGGUCUUCGGAGCGUAAAACUCUGUUAUUAGGGAAGAACAAAUGUGUAAGUAACUAUGCACGUCUUGACGGUACCUAAUCAGAAAGCCACGGCUAACUACGUG